UACGGGGGGGAGCAAGCGUUGUUCGGAUUUACUGGGCGUAAAGGGCGCGUAGGCGGUCAGUACAAGUCAGUUGUGAAAUCUCCGGGCUUAACUCGGAAAGGUCAACUGAUACUGUGCGACUAGAGUGCGGAAGGGGCAACUGGAAUUCUCGGUGUAGCGGUGAAAUGCGUAGAUAUCGAGAGGAACACCUGCGGCGAAGGCGGGUUGCUGGGCCGACACGUGGACGUGAUGCGCGAAAGCCAGGGAGCGAACGGGAUUAGAGUAC
rnacentral:rRNA from 1 species